AAUGAACACUCAGCUCUGGGUGACAUGAUGAGGGCAAAAAGGUCCAACAGAACCAACAGGCAAGCAGAAACAAGAACUGCUUCUCAGCAGAUGCUUUGCUUGCAAAUUGAUUGAUCCAAUGUAUACCCUGAUGGUUUUAACGGAGUUUCAACAACACUGUGCAGAGAAGCAGCCGUAC